rnacentral:rRNA from 1 species
GAGUUUGAUCCUGGCUCAGAAUCAACGCUGGCGGCGUGCCUAACACAUGCAAGUCGAACGCGAAAGCCCGCAAGGGUAAGUAGAGUGGCGAACGGGUGAGUAACGCGUGAAGAACCUGCCUUCGAGUGGGGGAUAACACUCCUAACGGAAUGCUAAUACCGCAUGAGACUACGGAUUCGCAUGGAUCUGCAGUCAAAGGUGGCCUCUCUCAAAGAUGGCUUCGCGUCCCAUUAGCUUGAUGGCGGUGUAAAAGACCACCAUGGCGACGAUGGGUAGCUGGUCUGAGAGGAUGGUCAGCCACACUGGGACUGAGAUACGGCCCAGACUCCUACGGGAGGCAGCAGUCGAGAGGCUUUGUCAAUGGGGGAAACCCUGAACAAGCGACGCCGCGUGGAGGAUGAAGGCCCUUGGGUCGUAAACUCCUUUUGUCGGGGAAGAAACACGAUCAGGUCAAUAUCCUGGUCGCUUGACGGUACCCGACGAAUAAGCUCCGGCUAACUCCGUGCCAGCAGCCGCGGUAAUACGGGGGGAGCAAGCGUUGUUCGGAAUUACUGGGCGUAAAGGGCGUGUAGGCGGCUAGAUAAGUGAGGUGUGAAAGGUCUCGGCUCACCCGAGGACGUGCAUCUCAUACUGUUUAGCUUGAGUAUGGGAGAGGAUGGGGGAAUUCCUGGUGUAGCGGUGAAAUGCGUAGAUAUCAGGAGGAACACCAGUGGCGAAGGCGCCCAUCUGGCCCAAUACUGACGCUGAGGCGCGAAAGCUAGGGGAGCGAACGGGAUUAGAUACCCCGGUAGUCCUAGCCGUAAACGGUGAUCACUAGGUGUUGGAGGCAUUGACCCCUCCAGUGCCGCAGCUAACGCAUUAAGUGAUCCGCCUGGGGAGUACGGCCGCAAGGCUGAAACUCAAAGGAAUUGACGGGGGCCCGCACAAGCGGUGGAGCAUGUGGUUUAAUUCGACGCAACGCGAAGAACCUUACCCAGACUUGACAUGCUUAGGACCGGUGUGUUAAACGGCACCUUCCCUUCGGGGCCUUUGCACAGGUGCUGCAUGGCUGUCGUCAGCUCGUGUCGUGAGAUGUUGGGUUAAGUCCCUUAACGAGCGCAACCCCUGUCGCUAGUUGCCAGCGAGUCAUGUCGGGGACUCUAGCGAGACUGCCGGUGUCAAACCGGAGGAAGGUGGGGAUGACGUCAAGUCCGCAUGGCCUUUAUGCCCAGGGCUGCACACGUGCUACAAUGGCUGGGACAGAGGGUCGCGAGCCGGCAACGGCAAGCCAAGCCCUUAAAGCCAGCCCCAGUUCGGAUUGCAGGCUGCAACUCGCCUGUAUGAAGUUGGAAUCGCUAGUAAUCGUGGAUCAGCUACGCCACGGUGAUACGUUCCCGGGCCUUGUACACAC